rnacentral:miRNA from 1 species
AGGUUUGGACCGGUGCACCA